AUUGAACGCUGGCGGCAUGCCUUACACAUGCAAGUCGAACGGUAACGCGGGGCAACCUGGCGACGAGUGGCGAACGGGUGAGUAAUGCAUCGGAACGUGCCCAUCAGUGGGGGAUAGCCCGGCGAAAGCCGGAUUAAUACCGCAUACGACCUGAGGGUGAAAGCGGGGGACCGUAAGGCCUCGCGCUGAUGGAGCGGCCGAUGUCGGAUUAGCUAGUUGGUGGGGUAAAGGCUUACCAAGGCAACGAUCCGUAGCUGGUCUGAGAGGACGACCAGCCACACUGGGACUGAGACACGGCCCAGACUCCUACGGGAGGCAGCAGUGGGGAAUUUUGGACAAUGGGGGCAACCCUGAUCCAGCCAUGCCGCGUGCGGGAAGAAGGCCUUCGGGUUGUAAACCGCUUUUGUCAGGGAAGAAAUCCUUUGAACUAAUACUUCGGAGGGAUGACGGUACCUGAAGAAUAAGCACCGGCUAACUACGUGCCAGCCGCCGCGGUAACAC
rnacentral:rRNA from 1 species